CCUACGGGUGGCUGCAGUGGGGAAUAUUGGACAAUGGGGGCAACCCUGAUCCAGCAAUGCCGCGUGGGUGAUGAAGGCCUUCGGGUUGUAAAGCCCUUUUGGCGGGGACGAUGAUGACGGUACCCGCAGAAGAAGCCCCGGCUAACUUCGUGCCAGCAGCCGCGGUAAUACGAAGGGGGCUAGCGUUGUUCGGAAUGACUGGGCGUAAAGGGCGCGUAGGCGGUCUGAAUAGUCGGAUGUGAAAGGCCUGGGCUUAACCUGGGAACUGCAUUCGAUACGGUCGGACUGGAGUGUGGGAGAGGUUGGUGGAAUUCCCAGUGUAGAGGUGAAAUUCGUAGAUAUUGGGAAAAACACCGGUGGCGAAGGCGGCCAACUGGACCACAACUGACGCUGAGGCGCGAAAGCGUGGGGAGCAAACAGGAUUAGAUACCCUGGUAGUC
rnacentral:rRNA from 1 species